AACCGUGACCAGUGGAACAAAAACCGCGACAGGUGGAACAAAAACUGUAACAGGUGGAACAAAAACCGUGACCAGUGGAACAAAAACCGACCAGUGGAACAAAAACAGUAACAGGUGGAACAAAAACCGUGACAGAUAGAACAAAAACCGUGACCAAAGGAACAAAACAGUAACAGGUGGAACAAAAACCGUGACCAGUGGAACAAAAACAGUAACAGGUGGAACAAAAACCGUGAACAGGUGGAACAAAAACUGUAACAGGUGGAACAAAACGUGACCAGUGGAACAAAAACCGUGACCAGUGGAACAAAAACAGUAACAGGUGGAACAAAAACCGUGACAGGUGGAACAAAAAACCGCGACAGGUGGAACAAAAA